rnacentral:rRNA from 1 species
GACGAACGCUGGCGGCGUGCUUAACACAUGCAAGUCGAACGGAAAGGCCUGCUUUCCCUUGUGGAUUGCGGGUACUCGAGUGGCGAACGGGUGAGUAACACGUGAGUGAUCUGCCCCCAACUUGGGUAUAAGCCUGGGAAACUGGGUCUAAUUUCCGAUAGGACUGCAGGGUGGUGCCUGUGGUGGAACACGAUUUUCUAGUGGUUGGGGAUGAGCUCGCGGCCUAUCAGCUUGUUGGUGGGGUAAUGGCCUACCAAGGCGGCGACGGGUAGCCGGCCUGAGAGGGUGGACGGCCACAUUGGGACUGAGAUACGGCCCAGACUCCUACGGGAGGCAGCAGUGGGGAAUAUUGCACAAUGGGCGGAAGCCUGAUGCAGCGACGCCGCGUGGGGGAUGACGGCCUUCGGGUUGUAAACUCCUUUCGACCGCGAGGAAGCCACCUGGUUGGAAGGGUGGUGACGGUAGUGGUAGAAGAAGCACCGGCUAACUACGUG